UACAGAGGUCUCAAGCGUUGUUCGGAUUCAUUGGGCGUAAAGGGUGUGUAGGUGGCGCGCUAAGUCGGGUGUGAAAUUUCGGAGCUUAACUCCGAAACUGCAUUCGAUACUGCGGUGCUUGAGGACUGGAGAGGAGACUGGAAUUUACGGUGUAGCAGUGAAAUGCGUAGAGAUCGUAAGGAAGACCAGUGGCGAAGGCGGGUCUCUGGGCAGUAACUGACGCUGAGGAGCGAAAGCGUGGGGAGCGAACAGG
rnacentral:rRNA from 1 species